rnacentral:rRNA from 1 species
UCGGGAAUUUUGGGCAAUGGGCGAAAGCCUGACCCAGCAACGCCGCGUGAGGGAUGAAGUAUUUCGGUAUGUAAACCUCGAAAGAAUGGGAAGAAUAAAUGACGGUACCAUUUAUAAGCUCCGGCUAACUACGUGCCAGCAGCCGCGGUCAUACGUAGGGAGCAAGCGUUGUUCGGAUUUACUGGGCGUAACGGGCGCGUAGGCGGCGCGGUAAGUCACGUGUGAAAUCUCUGAGCUUAACUCAGAACGGCCAAGUGAUACUGCUGUGCUAGAGGGCGGAAGAGGCAACCGGAAUUCUUGGUGUAGCGGUGAAAUGCGUAGAUAUCAAGAGGAACACCUGAGGCGAAGGCGGGUUGCUGGGCCGACACUGACGCUGAUGCGCGAAAGCCAGGG